GCCAAGUGCCUCGUCAUGUAAUUUGGGACGCGGCAGAACGAGGAGGGUCAUCGGCGGGAGUAACUAUUACUCUCUUAUGGGACAUGCCAAAUGCCUCGUCAUUUAAUUAGUAACGCG
rnacentral:ncRNA from 1 species